UCCGAUAUGGUGUAGUGGCCAACAUGAUGCCCUCUCAUCUCGUCGAGAGGUUAGGCAUAGCCCCGAGUUCGAUUCUCGGUUUCGGAA
rnacentral:tRNA from 1 species